rnacentral:rRNA from 1 species
UACGUAGGGGGCAAGCGUUAUCCGGAUUUACUGGGUGUAAAGGGAGCGUAGACGGCAGUGCAAGUCUGGAGUGAAAGGCGGGGGCUCAACCCCCGGGCUGCUCUGGAAACUGUACGGCUGGAGUGCAGGAGAGGUAAGUGGAAUUCCUAGUGUAGCGGUGAAAUGCGUAGAUAUUAGGAGGAACACCAGUGGCGAAGGCGGCUUACUGGACUGUAACUGACGUUGAGGCUCGAAAGCGUGGGGAGCAAACAGG